rnacentral:rRNA from 1 species
UACGAACCGUACAAACGUUAUUCGGAAUCACUGGGCUUAAAGGGUGCGUAGGCGGCUUUUCAAGUCGGGUGUGAAAUCCCUCGGCUUAACCGAGGAAUUGCGCCCGAAACUGUUGGGCUUGAGGGACACAGAGGUAAGCGGAACUUAGGGUGGAGCGGUGAAAUGCGUUGAUAUCCUAAGGAACACCAGGAGCGAAGGCGGCUUACUGGGUGUCUUCUGACGCUGAGGCACGAAAGCCAGGGGAG